ensembl:lncRNA
UUUUUUUUUUCCAAGUUUGAAGUUGAAAUCAGAUGCAGUUUGAAACGACGGGUUACGCCUGUGAUGUUCGUAGGAAAGCACAUCAUACUGUGAUAUAUUGCGUGAGAUUUAUGCUUUCAUAUGUAAUUUCUUCUGUCCGCGAAAGCACGGCGACGCGAUGCUCGGUGACGUUUCUGUACGGCACGGCGUGUGAUGAACUCGAUGAACCACGUUCGCAUUAAGGUGAAGUAAGUCGCUGGGGGAAGUCUAACGAGGAUGUUAUGAGGAUAAAUCUUAGCCGUAGUUUAUGGCGCAUGGCCGGAAGUCGUUUUAUUUUUAGCCUCCACCAGCAUUCGGACGUCUCCGCCUGCGGCGCAGGAGCGUGACGCCGCUGUCUGAUGGCGGUGUAUUGUGUUGCUGUCACACUGAUUGGCGUGUUACCCCUCUCUGCCCACUCUUACACUUUGACUCAGUGUGCCGUGGGAAAAGAACAAUGAAGCCUGUGGCCUGACGGUGUAAAGUAUGGAACAAGGAAACCGCGUGAGACAAAACUCCAGUUCACUGCAUCCUGCAAACAUUCUGUAAUGAAUGUAUAUCAAUGUUGUGUGUGUGUGUGUGAGAGGGUGAGGGGGGUGUGAGAGAGGGUGUGAGAGGGG